rnacentral:rRNA from 1 species
UACGUAGGGGGCAAGCGUUGUCCGGAAUCAUUGGGCGUAAAGAGCGUGUAGGCGGCCCGGUAAGUCCGCUGUGAAAGUCCAGGGCUCAACCCUGGAAUGCCGGUGGAAACUGUCGGGCUUGAGUACGGAAGAGGCGAGUGGAAUUCCUGGUGUAGCGGUGAAAUGCGCAGAUAUCAGGAGGAACACCAAUGGCGAAGGCAGCUCGCUGGGACGUUACUGACGCUGAGACGCGAAAGCGUGGGGAGCAGACAGG